AUUAAACGCUGGCGGCAUGCCUUACACAUGCAAGUCGAACGGCAGCACGGGGGCAACCCUGGUGGCGAGUGGCGAACGGGUGAGUAAAGCAUCGGAACGUGCCCUGGAGUGGGGGAUAACGUAGCGAAAGUUACGCUAAUACCGCAUAUUCUGUGAGCAGGAAAGCAGGGGAUCGCAAGACCUUGCGCUCUGGGAGCGGCCGAUGUCGGAUUAGCUAGUUGGUGGGUAAAGGCCUACCAAGGCGACGAUCCGUAGCGGGUCUGAGAGGAUGAUCCGCCACACUGGGACUGAGACACGGCCCAGACUCCUACGGGAGGCAGCAGUGGGGAAUUUUGGACAAUGGGCGAAAGCCUGAUCCAGCCAUGCCGCGUGAGUGAAGAAGGCCUCGGGUUGUAAAGCUCUUUCAGUUGAGAAGAAAAAGUACGUAGACUAAUAAUCAUGAUUCAUGACGGUAUCAACAGAAGAAGCACCGGCUAACUACGUGCCAGCAGCCGACGG
rnacentral:rRNA from 1 species